UCCGGGUGUGUUAUACCCCUUAUGUAUCGGUGUUCGGGAGUGAGGCCGCUUUCAGGAGCUGGCGUAAUGGCUUUAACGCCCGUCUUGAAACACGGCCAAGGAGUCUAACAUGCCCGCGAGUGUUCGGGUGGAAAACCCCUGCGCGUAAUGAAAGUGAAAGUUGGGAAGGCUGUCGUGGCCUGCACCGACGCCCGGACUUGAGAUUCAUCGAAGGUUCUGCGGUAGAGCGUGUAUGUUGGGACCCGAAAGAUGGUGAACUAUGCCUGAAUAGGGUGAAGCCAGAGGAAACUCUGGUGGAGGCUCGUAGCGAUUCUGACGUGCAAAUCGAUCGUC
rnacentral:rRNA from 1 species